AACGUAGGAGACAAACGUUAUCCGGAGUUACUGGGCGUAAAGGGCGUGCAGGCGGUCGACUAAGUCUGGCGUGAAAGCUCUCGGCUAAACCGGGAGAGGUCGUUGGAUACUGGUUGACUAGAGGACGGUAGAGGCGUGUGGAAUUCCGGGUGUAGUGGUGAAAUGCGUAGAGAUCCGGAGGAACACCAGUGGCGAAGGCGACACGCUGGGCCGUACCUGACGCUGAUACGCGACAGCGUGGGGAGCAAACAGG
rnacentral:rRNA from 1 species